rnacentral:lncRNA from 1 species
GUGAAAUGGGUUUCCCCUUAUCAAACCAUCAGAUCUCAUGUGACUGAUUCAUUACCACGAGAACAGUAUGGGGGAAUCCAUCUCCAUGAUUAAUUUAUCUGCCACUGGGUCCCUCCCACAACCUGUGGGAAUUAUGGGAGUUACAAUUCAUAAGAUCUGGGUGGGGACACAGAGCCAAACCUUAUCAUCAACCAACCAGUUGAGCUUGCUUCUUAUCUUAUACCUCAAAAUACCGCAUUUUAAGGAAAAGUGAUAGGUUUUACUCACUGAGUCCCUUCAACUGAUACCUAGUCAAUCUCUGGAUAUACAUUUUAUAAAUAUCUUCUUAAAAUUAAGCAUUAAAUCACAACUAAAAAUACAUAGAUCUCACUAUCAAUUUUCUUAGUACAUGUUGUAGUGACAAUGUAGAAAUGGUAUGGUCAGAAACAUUUAAUAUGUGCACCACUGAAUGAUUUCCUCUUCCAUUUAAACCUUUCAUCUGCUAAAUUAUGUUUUAAAGUGAAAUAUAAACAUUUUCAGAAAAAAAGAGCUUCCUAGGUCUGAAAGUGACCAGAAAUCUUGAUGAAAAUGAAAGAAAGGAAAAAAGGGAGUGAAAUAUAAAACUGUAUGAUAUACGUGAAUGUGGGUUUGCUUUAUCUCUCAUAUUUAUUUUCCCAUUUAUUCACAACUGUCGCCUGCUGCAUGUGGCUGUGCUUGAGAUAAUUUGACCUACUCUUACUGCCUACUCUACUGGUCAUUACUACUCUUCACUUAUCUAUUCAAAUAUUUAUUAAAUACCCUUCCCUCUUUCAUAUUUUGAUUGGUCCAGCAGAAUUCUGAUACAAUGAAAAGUGCUCCACACCAGGAAAUGCUGAUUAACUUUAAUUUUGUUCUUAUGCUGACUCUAAUGGUUCCGUAGCCCUCUAAGAUAUUCGAAUUCCUCAAGAAGCUAAACCUACUAUUUGUGGUGAGUUCAGGUACCACAACUUGGUAAACAGUUAAAGAGCAGUAUGAAUUCCAUCUUCAGCUUGAUAUUCUGUUGGCAAUAGAUUGUGUGAGCCUCCAAAGAAGUGGCUCAUUUUUACCACUCUUCUGUACUUUCAGGUUGGCAACUACUAUUUCAGCCACUACAGGGAUUAAAAUACAAGACAGUCAAUGAGUCUUUACUACAUGACUAAAUAACUCUUAUAUGAAGCACAACAUAAGGAUGAUAAGUCCAAAUGUCAUGGACAUCCCGGAAGAUCCUCUGCUCUUCCUUCUCUACCCUGCUGUUUGAGGAAAUGUAACAACUUAAACUGCCGCAAUAGGGCUUUUGUUUCUGGCCAGUGGGGAGCGCCGUGGACGAGCAGUGGGCAGAAAGAGAAUGAACUUGGUAUUUAUUCUAUUGGCCCUCUCCCGGUAAUGGUCCAAUUCUCUGAAAAUUCCAUUUGAAACACUGAAAAAACACCAUCUAUUUUCUUUUGGAAAAUGCGACUGCAUGUGUAUAUAAAACUCAGUCUUACUUGCAUGUACACCUGAGGACACUCAUGCUGGUUUUGAAGAAUCGAGCUGCUAAGUUAUGGACUGCCAAUGGAGAAGGCCACAUGAAAGGGAACUGUGAGCCUCAACUCUACUGCAAGGAACUGAAUUCUGCCAACAACUAAGUUAGCAUGAAAGUAAACCCAAGCUCCAAAUGAGACCACAACCCCAACAGACACCUUGGCUGCAGCCUGUCACACCCCAAAUUGAACAGCCAGGUUAGCUAUGGCUGUAAAGUUGACCCAUGGACAUGGAGAAACUUUCUUUCUUCUAAUGAUGUGCACUUACUCAUAGACAAAAGCCAGAUUCAGCUGGCCUCCCUAGGGAGGAAGCUCAAAAGCGCUUCAGUGUAUCUCACCAGGAGAUAGCUGGAAACACAGAUUAUAUUACCAAAACUUUCACUAGAAUGUCAAUUCUUCAGAUAUGAACAGACAACUUUAAAAAACUGAGGUUGGAUUUAUGAAACCAGUAAAAGCCCCUUGAAGAAGCUGAGCUGGUACCUUGAAUACAAGUUUCCUGGCCUUGUGGAGAUUCAAGAAUGUGACUUUCUGACCUGCCUUGGGACCUCAAAAUAUUUUGUGAGCCUAAAAGAGAGAAGAAUUCAGCUAGCUUCUACAAGUAAAGUUUGAUGGCAGCAUUUUGCUUUGGCAUCCAGGCUGGAGUGCAGUGGC